rnacentral:sRNA from 1 species
UGUUCUAUACGUACAAUUGCUUAUAUAAA